GGCUGGAUAGCUCAGUUGGUAGAGCACUGGUGCGGUGUUCCAGAGGUUGCAGGUUCAAAUCCCGCUCCAGUCA
rnacentral:tRNA from 1 species